UCACACCAUGGGAGUUGUGUUUGCCUUAAGUCAGGAUGCUAAAUUAGCUACUGCCCACGGCACACACAGCGACUGGGGUGAAGUCGUAACAAGGUAACCGUAGGUGAACCUGCGGUUGGAUCACCUCCUUUCUAGA
rnacentral:rRNA from 1 species